UACGUAGGGUGCAAGCGUUAAUCGGAAUUACUGGGCGUAAAGCGUGCGCAGGCGGUGAUGUAAGACAGAUGUGAAAUCCCCGGGCUCAACCUGGGAACUGCAUUUGUGACUGCAUCGCUGGAGUGCGGCAGAGGGGGAUGGAAUUCCGCGUGUAGCAGUGAAAUGCGUAGAUAUGCGGAGGAACACCGAUGGCGAAGGCAAUCCCCUGGGCCUGCACUGACGCUCAUGCACGAAAGCGUGGGGAGUAAACAGG
rnacentral:rRNA from 1 species